rnacentral:lncRNA from 1 species
UUUUUUCGGAUGUUAGGAUCCUGCAAAGGUUGUAACUGCUUUGACCAGCCUCUCAUGGCACCUCCAGACAGGCAACCCACACUCCUUGCUUCAGGGGCUGCAGCUCGUAUCACCCAGCUAUCUGACCACAGCAGAGGGGAGCUGCGUUGGCAUAUCUGAGAGAGGUGCAGUGAUGUGGGUCCCAGCAGGGGUUGAGGAAAGGCAGGUAUGAAUGAGUGCCUCUUCCAGAAAGGAAGGAAGUUUCUCCAGCUCUACCCCAAUGGAUCCGUUGAGAGUUCACAUUACCUUCAGCAGUGACCCCCACAAGGCAAUGCGACGGCUGCCCUUUCUCCCCUGCACACAGCUCUGGCCCCCUCACUGCCCUCCCUCCUGUCAGUGGCUGCUCAAGCAGGCAUGCAAUGAGCCACCAGCCUGGGGAACUAAAACAUGACAUUUCAGC